rnacentral:rRNA from 1 species
UACGUAGGGAGCAAGCGUUAAUCGGAAUUACUGGGCGUAAAGGGCGCGUAGGUGGUUAUGUAAGUGAGAUGUGAAAUCCCUGGGCUUAACCUAGGAACUGCAUCUUAUACUGUGUAACUGGAGUGCGGUAGAGGGUAGUGGAAUUUCCGGUGUAGCGGUGAAAUGCGUAGAUAUCGGAAGGAACACCAGUGGCGAAGGCGGCUACCUGGACUGACACUGACACUGAGGCGCGAAAGCGUGGGGAGCAAACAGG